rnacentral:misc_RNA from 1 species
GAUAAGUAUGAUUUUCAUCUUCUGUUAUUUUAACUAAUGCCCUUGCCAUGAUACUCCAUUCUCCUUUUAUGUGUUCUCUUUAUUAACUGUCAUAUUUAUUUUCUUGGACUGUAUUCACUGAUUAGGAAAAAAGCUAACUGUUGAUAUGUUCAUUUUCUUUUCAACUUUGAUCAAAUUGAUGGCAAGUCCAAAAAAGUCACAUAGGUACUAUCUGCAGAAAAAAUGUGAAUGUACAUAUUUGAUAUUGUAUUUAUGCUAGUAGGUGUUUGACCAAUAUAUAUAUAUCAUAGCCUUGUCUUUUUCCCCCCCAGUUGUGUGACAACGGUUGUAUACUAAUUUUUUUAAUUUUAUUUUCUUAUAAUUUUCAUUUGUGCCUUAGUACAAUAUUGUGAUAAUAGAUUAAUGUGAGUUAACAAAUAGGAACUUAUUGAUUACAGGUUGAGGUGAGGCUUGUUUUGCUGCAAAUAUUUGUAUAUGUUGAGCACUCUGAAUUACUCUUUGUACCUUAGAGAUAUAUAUUGAAUGUUUUAAAACUGUGUUGAAGAUACGUCCAUUCUGAUCAUUGAUCCCAGACCUGUGUUUGUCUUGUCAUUUGUUCAAAGGGCAAGUCAUAUGAUGCUUAAUGGGGACUCAACUUUCAAGAUCAACCUUUUCAUUCAACCCAUCUACUUUUAGUUGCCAACAAUUUCUAGUCUGUGGAUGCUAUAGAGGAUUUGCUGUUUUGUCUUGCAAUUGACUCAGUAGCAUGGUCGUUUGUAUUGUCUGGUUGAAAUGAUGUUACAGAGGAUCUGCUGUUACAUCUAUCACAAUCAAAUCAGUAGCAUGGGUGUUUAUUUUAUUUAUGUUUUAUGGUUGAAGUUUCAAAUCUGGCUUUAUUUAUUUGUUCUAUCGAUCAGUUACCUUUCCUGCAGAUCUUUAGAAUAAGGCAAUGUUAAUUUCUUGCAUUAGUGUCUUUUUUUUUUCUUUUUUUUGGUCAUUUAUAGGUUGAUGGGAAGAACACACCACUUUAUUAUUAAUGUGUUUAUCAAAUUGAUUCUAACUCAAUUGCUAUUGCUGGAUUUUAGAUACAAAUUGGAUGUUGUGAGUGC